GUGGGGAAUAUUGGACAAUGGGCGAAAGCCUGAUCCAGCCAUGCCGCGUGUGUGAAGAAGGUCUUCGGAUUGUAAAGCACUUUAAGUUGGGAGGAAGGGCAGUAAGUUAAUACCUUGCUGUUUUGACGUUACCAACAGAAUAAGCACCGGCUAACUUCGUGCCAGCAGCCGCGGUAAUACGAAGGGUGCAAGCGUUAAUCGGAAUUACUGGGCGUAAAGCGCGCGUAGGUGGUUUUGUAAGUUGGAGGUGAAAUCCCCGGGCUCAACCUGGGAACUGCCUCCAAAACUACAUGACUAGAGUACGGUAGAGGGUAGUGGAAUUGCCUGUGUAGCGGUGAUAUGCGUAGAUAUAGGAAGGAACACCAGUGGCGAAGACGACUACCUGGACUGAUACUGACACUGAGGUGCGAAAGCGUGGGGAGCAAACAGGAUUAGAAACCCUAGUAGUCC
rnacentral:rRNA from 1 species